rnacentral:tRNA from 1 species
GGGGGCGUAGCUCAGUUGGCUAGAGCGCAUGCUUGACAUGCAUGAGGUCAUUGGUUCGAGCCCAACCGUCCCCACCA